CGCGUUUCUUUUUGUGGGCUGGGGCAGGUGAAGACGAAGUAGCAGCCCCAUGGUAAUUAAGAGGAGGGGAUUGGCAGUCGUCAGUCCAUUUCAUCCCCUGUCUCUCUCUAUCCUUUCUCUGUGAAAAUCCGAAGAUCUCUGAAGCGAAUCGAAGAGAAAUCGCCGUGCUCCUCCACAGCCAACGAGAGGAUGGGCGACGCUGCGCUGAUGAGGAGAUGGUUUGCAGAGUUUGCAUGAGCCCUUGCUACCGCGAGAGCAGGUCAAGCGACAUUAGCAUGUAUGUCUGGGAGUUUAAAAACGCAGGGAUAAAUCAGCAGCCUGUAUUUUUUCAUUUUUUUCAUUGUAUGAUCCUUAUUUUUUAGUUUGUACUCAUCAUCACAGAAUAUAUUAUUUUUUGAAGCAGUGGGGAGCCCCUAGUUUAACUAGUUGUUUA